UCCUAGCCCCGAUAGCAGUGAAAAUCCUUAUGCGACGGGGUUCGGCGCAGAAGAUUGAAACGCAUAGCGGGAACAGCC
rnacentral:sRNA from 1 species